rnacentral:rRNA from 1 species
ACACAUGCAAGUCGAACGAAGUAGCAAUACUUAGUGGCAGACGGGUGAGUAACAUGUAGGUAUCUACCCUGUGGCCUGGAAUAACACGAGGAAACUUGUGCUAAUACCGGAUAAGUCUUUACGGAGAAAGCUUUAUGCACCAUUGGAUGAGCCUGCACUUGAUUAGUUUGUUGGUAGGGUAACGGCCUACCAAGACUGUGAUCAAUAGCUGAUUUGAGAGGAUGAUCAGCCACAUUGGGACUGAGACACGGCCCAAACUCCUACGGGAGGCAGCAGUGGGGAAUCUUGCACAAUGGAGGAAACUCUGAUGCAGCGAUGCCGCGUGAGUGAAGAAGGCCCUUGGGUUGUAAAGCUCUUUCGUCGGGGAAGAAAAUGACUGUACCCGAAUAAGAAGGUCCGGCUAACUUCGUGCCAGCAGCCGCGGUAAUACGAAGGGACCUAGCGUAGUUCGGAAUUACUGGGCUUAAAGAGUUCGUAGGUGGUUGAAAAAGUUGGUGGUGAAAUCCCAGAGCUUAACUCUGGAACUGCCAUCAAAACUUUUCAGCUAGAGUUUGAUAGAGGAAAGCAGAAUUUCUAGUGUAGAGGUGAAAUUCGUACAUAUUAGAAAGAAUACCAAUUGC